rnacentral:rRNA from 1 species
GACGAACGCUGGCGGCGUGCUUAACACAUGCAAGUCGAACGGAAAGGCCCUGCUUUUGUGGGGUGCUCGAGUGGCGAACGGGUGAGUAACACGUGAGUAACCUGCCCUUGACUUUGGGAUAACUUCAGGAAACUGGGGCUAAUACCGGAUAGGAGCUCCUGCUGCAUGGUGGGGGUUGGAAAGUUUCGGCGGUUGGGGAUGGACUCGCGGCUUAUCAGCUUGUUGGUGGGGUAGUGGCUUACCAAGGCUUUGACGGGUAGCCGGCCUGAGAGGGUGACCGGCCACAUUGGGACUGAGAUACGGCCCAGACUCCUAUGGGAGGCAGCAGUGGGGAAUAUUGCACAAUGGGCGGGAGCCUGAUGCAGCAACGCCGCGUGCGGGAUGACGGCCUUCGGGUUGUAAACCGCUUUCGCCUGUGACGAAGCGUGAGUGACGGUAAUGGGUAAAGAAGCACCGGCUAACUACGUG